rnacentral:lncRNA from 1 species
AGUACCAAAGUGAAACCGAAAGAGAAAACGCAGUCACUCUACGUCACCCUGACCAUGCCCUCGAAAGCGUGGUCAGGCACAUCUGUAGCCAGGCCCUAAGUAGGCAUGGCUACAACUUCCCCUACAGUGGAAUCUCCAGGAAAUAGUGCCUCCACGCCAAGGUGGCUUGUGACACUUCAGAAAGCAGGCAGAGCAGGCAGGCAAUCACUCCUCCAGAGCUACUGGGGCUGUUGGCUGCUGUAGAUGAGGUUACCUCUCCAGGGACAGUGACAGUGAAGGGCUAAGCACAUCCUGACUCAGCCUGGUCUCACCAGAUGGAUGGACAUCUUCUAGCCCAAGCCUGCCUUGCUCCCUGAUGCUCCCAGCAGGAACUUUCCACAUCAUCUCAGGAUUCAGUCUAAGGCUUGAAGGACUGAAGGACUCCUGGCCAUGCCUGUAGAGGGCUGCUGCCUUGUGGGACAGUGACCUACCUGGCCAUUUCCUUUAUUCCUUUGCUCCAGGCACCAAUGUCCAACUGCAGAUCCCUUUCAGGGGAGACAUUAAAACACCAGUUGUCCAACAAAGGAAUGCCACAUGCUGAAAGGACACAAAAGACUUGCUCUUUGAGCCCUGUCUCUGGCUGGUUGCUCCAACGCAGAAGGAACCCAGACAAAAGAGGCCAACAGACAGCAUGCAGGCUGGCUACCCUGUGAAUCAGCUGCCUGUCAGACUUGAACUUGUGAUCGGCCUUUUUCUGCCACUUCUCCUUCAGCUUUACUGAUAUUUCAUCUUCCAACUGUCUUGGAAUACAGACUCAAUGCUUCCCACAGUCCUAUUUUACAGAUAAGGAAACCAAAGCUCCCACUGGCUAUUUGACUGGUCCAAAAGUAACUGAACAAAAUUUUAACAGCAGGAAAGAUAUAGCACGGAUUCAUUCAUUCAUUCAUUCAUCCAUUCAUUCAUCUAUCUCCUAUUACCUGGGGUCUACUAGGUAUGGAAACAAACAGCUGUGUCCCCCGCUCUCUUGCGGCUAGAGUUCUGGUGGCUGGGUCUGGGAGACAAGUGACCAUGUGUCUUCUUGCAUUCCACUAGGACCUCCUCUUGUGAUGUGUAUAGAUUCUGACUUGCUGGCUUUCUUGCUUUCUGUGUGCCAGGCACUCCAUCCAUCAUGGUUUCUGGCUCCCAGGUGGCCAGCUGCGCAGGCUGGAGUUCGGGGGAGUCAUCCCUCCCUUCAAUCUUUAAGAUGAGAGCCAAAGGGCCGUUGAUCACUUUUAAGAGUGCAGUCGAUGAUGGAGGCCUGAUGGGGCUGUAAUUUCCUAGGCGCUUGUCU